rnacentral:rRNA from 1 species
UAGUUGGCGGGGUAAAGGCCCACCAAGGCGACGAUCCGUAGCUGGUCUGAGAGGAUGAUCAGCCACACUGGUACUGAGACACGGACCAGACUCCUACGGGAGGCAGCAGUGAGGAAUAUUGCGCAAUGGACGAAAGUCUGACGCAGCCAUGCCGCGUGCAGGAUGACUGCCCUAUGGGUUGUAAACUGCUUUUGUACGGGAAUAAACCCUUCUACGUGUAGGAGGCUGAAGGUACCGUAAGAAUAAGCACCGGCUAACUCCGUGCCAGCAGCCGCGGUAAUACGGAGGGUGCAAGCGUUAUCCGGAUUUAUUGGGUUUAAAGGGUCCGCAGGCGGAUCGUUAAGUCAGUGGUGAAAGCCCACAGCUCAACUGUGGAAUUGCCAUUGAUACUGGCGGUCUUGAGUAUGUAUGAAGUUGGCGGAAUGUGUGGUGUAGCGGUGAAAUGCUUAGAUAUCACACAGAACACCGAUUGCGAAGGCAGCUGGCUAAUACAUAACUGACGCUGAGGGACGAAAGUGUGGGGAUCAAACAGGAUUAGAUACCCUGGUAGUCCACACCGUAAACGAUGAUCACUAGAUUUUGGUCGCAAGAUCAGAGUCCAAGCGAAAGUGUUAAGUGAUCCACCUGGGGAGUACGACCGCAAGGUUGAAACUCAAAGGAAUUGACGGGGGCCCGCACAAGCGGUGGAGCAUGUGGUUUAAUUCGAUGAUACGCGAGGAACCUUACCUGGGCUUGAAAGUUAGUGACCGAUCCUGAAAGGGAUUUUUCCGCAAGGACACGAAACUAGGUGCUGCAUGGCUGUCGUCAGCUCGUGCCGUGAGGUGUCGGAUUAAGUUCCAUAACGAGCGCAACCCCUAUCUUUAGUUGCCAGCGAGUAAUGUCGGGGACUCUAAAGAAACUGCCCGUGUAAGCGGUGAGGAAGGUGGGGAUGACGUCAAGUCAUCACGGCCCUUACGUCCAGGGCGACACACGUGCUACAAUGGUAGGGACAGUGAGUUGCAAGCCAGCAAUGGUGAGCUAAUCUAUAAACCCUAUCUCAGUUCGGAUCGAGGUCUGCAACCCGACCUCGUGAAGCUGGAAUCGAAUCCCGC